rnacentral:lncRNA from 1 species
CCAGAAUCUAAAACAGAGGUCUGCAUUUGAGCUGCAGCCACUUAGCCUGGGACAGUUUAUUUUGGAUUUAGAAAGAUACUGAUGACCAAUAUGGAAGAAGAGACUCAGGCUGGUGCUUGCAGAAGAUAAAAGAGAAAGCCAUUGGUUAACAAGACAGUAGAGUACUUGCCUAAUCAUAGUUAUACAGUAAAACACUUCUGUACUGUGACUUUAAAGGAUUAAAACAGGAGCUUAACAAAGGAUCUCUGCCUUAUCCAGUGACACAGGUGGUUACACCCGUGCUAGUGGAUGCAAGAUUCAAUGUCUGUCUUCAUUCUUCCAGACUUCUUGUUUCUGUCUGUUCCAUGGUUCUUCUUCAAAUUAACUCUCAUCCUCAAUGGGAUCAACGCUUCUCAGGAAGAGCUUCCACAAGUGCAAGAUCACAUUGAAAUGGAAGAAGGGUGUCUCUUGUUCCCAGGUUUCAUCCAGUUUGGUAAAAUUGCUGGAUCUACUCCUACUGCAAGCAGACAAAGUUAUCCAUUUUCCUUCUCCUUCAGUCAUACUGUCAUAUACCUGCAUGUAAGUUAUGUCACUGUACCUUGUCUAGACUUAUUAGUUAAAUAAAUAAAUAAAUAAAAUGGUUAUGGGUAAGGUGAAUGGUAA